rnacentral:rRNA from 1 species
AAAUUGAAGAGUUUGAUCAUGGCUCAGAUUGAACGCUGGCGGCAGGCCUAACACAUGCAAGUCGAACGGUAACAGGAAACAGCUUGCUGUUUCGCUGACGAGUGGCGGACGGGUGAGUAAUGUCUGGGAAACUGCCUGAUGGAGGGGGAUAACUACUGGAAACGGUAGCUAAUACCGCAUAACGUCGCAAGACCAAAGAGGGGGACCUUCGGGCCUCUUGCCAUCGGAUGUGCCCAGAUGGGAUUAGCUAGUAGGUGGGGUAACGGCUCACCUAGGCGACGAUCCCUAGCUGGUCUGAGAGGAUGACCAGCCACACUGGAACUGAGACACGGUCCAGACUCCUACGGGAGGCAGCAGUGGGGAAUAUUGCACAAUGGGCGCAAGCCUGAUGCAGCCAUGCCGCGUGUAUGAAGAAGGCCUUCGGGUUGUAAAGUACUUUCAGCGGGGAGGAAGGGAGUGAAGUUAAUACCUUUGCUCAUUGACGUUACCCGCAGAAGAAGCACCGGCUAACUCCGUGCCAGCAGCCGCGGUAAUACGGAGGGUGCAAGCGUUAAUCGGAAUUACUGGGCGUAAAGCGCACGCAGGC